CUCCGGUUGAUCCGCCGGACCCGACUGCUAUCAGAGUGAGAUUAAGCCAUGCGAGUUAACGUAGCAAUACGUGGCGCACGGCUCAGUAACACGUAGUCAACAUGCCCAGAGGACGUGGAUAACCUCGGGAAACUGAGUCUAAACCGCGAUAAGUGAGGAUUUCUGGAAUGGUUCCUGACUAAAAUCUAUAUGGCCUCUGGAUUGGACUGCGGCCGAUCAGGCUGUUGGUGAGGUAAUGGCCCACCAAACCUGUAACCGGUACGGGCUCUGAGAGGAGGAGCCCGGAGAUGGGCACUGAGACAAGGGCCCAGGCCCUAUGGGGCGCAGCAGGCGCGAAACCUCUGCAAUAGGCGAAAGCCUGACAGGGUUACUCUGAGUGAUUUCCGUUAAGGAGAUCUUUUGGCACCUCUAAAAAUGGUGCAGAAUAAGGGGUGGGCAAGUCUGGUGUCAGCCGCCGCGGUAAUACCAGCACCCCGAGUGGUCGGGACGUUUAUUGGGCCUAAAGCAUCCGUAGCCGGUUCUACAAGUCUUCCGUUAAAUCCACCUGCUUAACAGAUGGGCUGCGGAAGAUACUAUAGAGCUAGGAGGCGGGAGAGGCAAGCGGUACUCGAUGGGUAGGGGUAAAAUCCGUUGAUCCAUUGAAGACCACCAGUGGCGAAGGCGGCUUGCCAGAACGCGCUCGACGGUGAGGGAUGAAAGCUGGGGGAGCAAACCGGAUUAGAUACCCGGGUAGUCCCAGCUGUAAACGAUGCAGACUCGGUGAUGAGUUGGCUUCUUGCCAACUCAGUGCCGCAGGGAAGCCGUUAAGUUUGCCGCCUGGGGAGUACGGUCGCAAGACUGAAACUUAAGGGAUUGGCGGGGGAGCA
rnacentral:rRNA from 1 species